GGUUCCAUGGUGUAAUGGUGAGCACUCUGGACUUUGAAUCCAGCGAUCUGAGUCUGAGUCUCGGUGGGACCU
rnacentral:tRNA from 2 species